AUUGAACGCUGGCGGCAUGCUUUACACAUGCAAGUCGAACGGCAGCACGGGUGCUUGCACCUGGUGGCGAGUGGCGAACGGGUGAGUAAUGCAUCGGAACGUGCCCAUGAGUGGGGGAUAGCCGGCGAAAGCCGGAUUAAUACCGCAUACGCCCUUAGGGGGAAAGGCGGGGGAGUCUUCGGACCUCGCGCUAUUGGAGCGGCCGAUGUCGGAUUAGCUAGUAGGUGAGGUAAAGGCUCACCUAGGCGACGAUCCGUAGCUGGUCUGAGAGGAUGAUCAGCCACACUGGGACUGAGACACGGCCCAGACUCCUACGGGAGGCAGCAGUGGGGAAUUUUGGACAAUGGGCGCAAGCCUGAUCCAGCCAUGCCGCGUGAGUGAAGAAGGCCUUCGGUUGGUAAAGACGUCUUUCUAGGUGGAAAGGAAAGUAAGACGCUGUUUAA
rnacentral:rRNA from 1 species